GACAGAGGUGCCGAGCGUUAGGCGGAAUCACUGGGCUUAAAGCGUGUGUAGGCGGACCGUUAAGUACCUUGUGAAAUCCCGCGGCUCAACCGCGGAACGGCUGGGUAUACUGGCGGUCUUGAGCGAUCUAGGGGCAGAUGGAACAAGUGGUGGAGCGGUGAAAUGCGUAGAUAUCACUUGGAACGCCAAAGGUGAAGACAGUCUGCUGGGGAUCCGCUGACGCUGAGACACGAAAGCCAGGGGAGCGAACGGG
rnacentral:rRNA from 1 species